UCUAAGAGAGUGCGACAAAUUAAGGCAUAUCCCUAAUAGCAUUCUUUAGUUGCAACAACAUCAAAAUAUUCUCUCUUGAUGGUACCUACUCGGAUAAAAUACAAUAUCUCUCCAUUGGAGAGCUGCUCUAGUCACCACCUCCAAUGAAUUCAAGCAUUUCAAAUUAUGGGAUGGAGAACGUUUCAAAUCAGUGGAGGGAAGUCUGCAACUUAGUAUUAUAGUAUAGACAAUGGAAUGCUAAUUAAAAGUUUUGGAGUCCGUGUGGUACUCAAGCAAAAGGAGAUGAUCAAUACGAAAGAUGAUGUAUAUUUUCUCGGGAUUUUUCCGUCUCUCCUUAUAAUUUAAGCUUUGUGCCCGUAUUAGAUGGAGUUACUUGGAGUUUUGUGCCUCUUUCAUUUUUUUUGGUUGGAUUUUCACUUGAAUUAUGCAUUUUAACAAUGUUGCUUAA